rnacentral:rRNA from 1 species
UUCGCAAUGCCCGAAAGGGUGACGAAGCGACGCCGCGUGUGGGAAGAAGGCCUUCGGGUUGUAAACCACUGUCGGGAGUUAAGAAAUGCAAGGAUAUGAAUAGUGUCUUUGCUUGACUAAGGCUCCGGAGGAAGCCACGGCUAACUCUGUGCCAGCAGCCGCGGUAAUACAGAGGCGGCAAGCGUUGCUCGGAAUUAUUGGGCGUAAAGAGCACGUAGGCGGCUAUAUAAGUCGGUUGUGAAAGCCUUCCGCUCAACGGGAGAACAGCAUCCGAUACUGCAUGGCUUGAGUGCGGGAGGGGAGAGUGGAACUUCUGGUGGAGCGGUGAAAUGCGUAGAUAUCAGAAGGAACGCCGGCGGCGAAAGCGGCUCUCUGGCCCAUAACUGACGCUGAGUGUGCGAAAGCUAGGGGAGCAAACGGGAUUAGAUACCCCGGUAGUCCUAGCCGUAAACGAUGGGCACUAAGUAGAGGGGUUUU